GGUGGAGAUUUACAUUCCCAACAUGCAAGCUCUGGCCCAGCACAUGGAUGAGGAGAAGGAACAGUUUGCUGUCUCAAACUCAGUCUGUCCUUCCACAACCUUGAGCAGCAGAAGUUGACAUCAAAACAUGGCAGUUACUGAGACUCUUGGAGAUCAUGGAGUGUGACAUGAUCCGAGCGCUUCAGAAGAGGAUUAGACUCUAGUGAUGUCGGCACGCUCGCGGCAUGACACGCAGCUCCCCACAGUUACCCAGCAUCCUCUUCUCCUGCAGGAACCCAGAGGAGAUCAAAGAGCAUGAUGGGAGGAUGGCGCUGGGCCUGAUUCUCUCUGUAGGCUGUCAUUAGAAAGCCAAUAAACUUCACCACAGUUAGUCUCUUAUAUUUAGGAUAUUGUAACAUUUUCAUCUCAACAGCAACAAAAAAAAUAGUCCUCUCUGAAAUGCAUUGCCUGUCUUCACAUGUCAUUAAGAACUGUGGAAACGGCCUUCGAUGAAGCACACUGUUUCUCUAGAGAUUGUGGAGGAUUUCAUCCAGUGGUUCAUGAGUGGUGUUGAGCCUGAGACUGAUGGACAGGUGACGUUCUCCAGCGCUCAUCUGCAGGAGUGUUUGAAUGAACUGACUUGUGCUGUAAUAAAUCACAAGUUUUCCAGCGAUAUUCCCAGUUUUAUGAGCAAAUCCUUCAACAGCAGGAACAACUUCUUUACCAGAGAGAGCAGGAUGUUAAAGAGCUGGAAGCCAAAGAAAUGCAGGCCAGUGACCCCUACAGAAAGAUAUAUGCGUUGUUUGUGUGUAUAUCUCCGUGUUUUUCACUACAUGUUCAGUAAACACGUCUGA
ensembl:lncRNA